UGACAUCUUAACUAGAAAAUAGUAUUUUACAUGCUCAACUAUUUUGUUACAUGUUGUAAAUAUAAAUAAGGCGUAUUGGAAAUUCCGCCGUAUUUUCCACUGUAGUUUUACUAUUCGUCAUCAAGCUCGUGACUGAUCGUGUUUACAUAAAUAUAUUUUAGAAUUAAAUUUCAUGUGAACUAUUUAACCGUGAAUUGAUCGAAAAUUAUAUGUGAAUGCAUGUGGGAACAUUAAUUAUUUAAUACUAUUCUUACUCACAGAGAGUAUUUGUGGUGCAUCUCGCCAUUGUUUGCAAAGUAAGCGUGUUUUAACGAUGUUGAGGUCACGAAAAGGCAGUCGGAUAAACGAAGCGUUCCGGACCCUACCGACUGCCACCGAACGUGCACGAACGCUGAAGGUUAUACCUGCAUGGCGACGGCAGACGCAUCACAAGGAUCGUAUUCGUUUCAGCAAAAAUGACGAUUUAAAACACCGUUGAUUCUGCACCCUGGAAACAAGCGAUUUAAGAACACCGCUAACUUUCAACAGCAAACAAGUCUGUUUAAGCGUACCAAAACAAGCACACGUCUGAUAAACCCACAAUGCACCACCCAGAAAAAGUGGCCAAGGAUACUAUUCCAAGUAAAGUAAAGGAUUUCAUAAGAUCCGCGGUCGAAGAACAGUUUAAGUCCUUGAGACCGGACCUCAUUAAACACUUCGACGCCGUUAUUAUAUAUGACAAACGCGAUUACGAGCAUGUAGUAAGGGUCAAAUACGAACUCACGGAAAUAAUGCGAUGGGACGGUAGAGAUAGUGACAUUCGCAUAGAGCUUUUUGACAAUGAGGCCUAUUUCAGUCAAUCGAGGAUUUCCAUCAUACAAGACGUCAUAAACAAAUGUUGCCUGUUGCUCUUUUAUCUGACUGAGAACGCCGAUAAUCCUUACUUUCAUUUCCUUUGUGAGGAGGCGAUCGCGUUCUCGAAACUGUACACAGAGACUGGGGCAGCAGUACACCCAAAAAGCGAAUGCGUCAUCAAGCCAAUCCAUACGCUGCCACAGAGUGCCCGGCAUUACAAGGCCCCUCCCGGACUGGCGUCGCUAACCAGUAUCGACUGGUUUGAUAGGGGAUCCAAGUUUACCCGGGACAAGAUUAUUUCGGUUUUAAUAAACGCUAAGGUCACGAGAGAACAGAACGAGGCAACUGAUAAAACACGGCGGGAAUUUGCCUUUAUGCAUUACGCUUCCCGCGUGAUGCCAGGAACAAGUCAGAGCGUUCAUCCGGAUAAAGGCUCUCCUAAAUACUAAAACAUGCUUAAUUUAUUGAAAAACUUAGUGUGUAUGUUUUUAAAUAGUAUAUGAUUCACAAAUAAUUAUCUGAUAUCAUAUACCGGUAAUAUUAUAUUAUUAAUUCAUUAUGGUUUUGCCGUAAUAAUUUUAAUGAAUAAAUAUAUCAACGUUGCCUCCGAGAUUUGGAAUCGAACUAAUCCAACUUCGAUAUAUAUAAUACACAUGUGGUUUGCAUAAGACACUAUGUAAUAACCGCUUUGUUUGAAUGUAUUGUGUGCGACGAAACAGACAUCGUCCUUCAUUUGGUUUCUGAUUAUUUUGCUAUAUGUUUCCUCUUUAGAAUUAUGUCAUUGACUCAUGGUUACUUUUUGACUUAUUAGACUAACAAUAUAUUCAUAAUAUGCAA